UGUCAGGCGUUUGCUGGGGGCCACGCAGGGGUGCAGGAAGCUGUUGGUCUGACAAGGCUCAGCAUGGGAGGGCAAGACUAUGAAACACAGCUGCCUCAGCCCUGGGUAUGGUCUCUCCAUAAUGCUAUUGAUGAUAAUAUUGGUAUUAGCUCCAGUUGCUGAAAACUUGCCAAGUGCCACGCACAGUGCUAAACAUUCAUUUCUUCACUGCAGCCUUUGGGCCUCUGCACCCAUGCUACUAGCUCCAUUUUACACAUGAAGAAAUGGAGGUUCAGAGAGGUGAAGUGACUUGCUCCAGGUCACACAGCUGCCAGGAGAAGAGCAAGCUGAGGUGCCUGGUCCCUGUCUAUGAGCGGCUGCCCUGGCAGAGAGAGCAGGUACAGUCUGUGGGCCCUGAGGGCAGAGCCGGUGGGUGGGGGGAGAGCUGCAGGAGGGAGGCUGGUUUCCAAAUGCCCAGGGAAGGAGAGGGCUCCCUGAGCGGGGCCAAGCUCCCUCAAACCGGAGGUGGAUGAGCAGAGGCUGCAAGCUGGCAGACAGCACUGGUGCAGAGGGCAUUUGAGUGGCUGUAUCCCAUGACUUCUAAGGUUUCAGGACAGGGAAGUUACAAGAAGGUUGAUCUUUUCUUUUUUUUUUUUUUAAAGAUUGGCACCUGAGCUAACAUCUGUGCCCAUCUUUUUUUUCUUCUCCUCUCCAAAGCCCCCCAGUACCUAGUUGUAGAUUCUAGUGGUAGGUCUUUCUGGUUGUGCUAUGUGGGACGCCACCUCAGCAUGGCCUGAUGAGCGGUGCCAUGUCUGUGCCUAGGAUCCGAACUGGUGAAACCCUGGGCCUGUGAAGCGGAGCAUGUGAACAUAACCAUUCGGCCACAGGGCCGGCCCCAGGAAGGUUGAUUUUGACCCAACAUAAGCAAGAGUUUUCUAGCAGAGCUCUCUAGAGAUGCAUUGCACUGCUCCAGAGAAUGGUAGUGAGGUUCACAUCAUAGGGGGCAUUUAAGCAGAAACUGGAUAAACACUGGACAGGAAUGUUGUUGAAGUGAUUAGUGCAUCAGAUGGGAGUUUGGAUUAGAUGACCCUUUAGUGAGAGGUGACAUGGCCCUGGAAGAAAAGAACGGACCAGCGUCUAACCUGAGGUCUGAUCCAGGCUCCAACAUUUGCCAGCUGGAUGACCUCGGCCAAAAGUCUUCCCCUCUCUGAGCUUUGAUUUCCUCAUCCGUAAAAUGGAAAUUAUAAUCUCCAUCCUGCUUACCUUCCAGGACUGUAGUGAGGGGGAUAGGCAGAGGGGGGUGGACAAAGAUUGGUAGAGAGGAAGGAGAAAGGAGGAUGUGUCUGUCUCUGUGCCGGGUGCUGGACGGAGAAAGGAGUUUGAAGCAGACGGUUUGCCCCUCUCAGAGCUGCAGCAAUAGUUUGAGUCUCUGGAACAUUGCUGUCCACUAGAACUUCCUGCAGUGAUGGAAAUGUUCCAUAUUUGCACUGUCUGUUCAGUAACCACUAGCUACAAGUGGCUGUUGAACCCUUG
rnacentral:lncRNA from 1 species